GCACAGGUGAAUUCCCUAGAUGCUCUUCAAGUGCCCAUGCCUGACCCCAGAGAGUCCUCGGUGGCACGAGUGGGUGCAGAGAAGUUGCCCUCGCCUGCAGACCUGAUGGGGCGCUCCAGAAAAGGUCGAUCCAGAGUGCAGAGAAGUGAGCUGUCUAAAGUGACAACUGUCUUGCAGCACAUCGGAGACCUACGGAAGAAACAGAGCUCCAUUGAUCGGCUCAAGACAGAAAAGUGGAGGAUCUCCAACAAUGAUUCUGGCCCAGAGGAGAGCUCUUUGUCAGGCCAAGAAAUGAUAACAGAGGCAUCAGAGCCCAUUUUCAGUCACAAUGUCUUCAACACCUAUGAAAAGCAACACAGUGCAUUCUUAUUUCCACACAACCAACAGGAUUUAUUCAAAGGAUUUCCUGACCAGGUGAUGACACCAGGGGAUAAUCCCAUGAUGUCAUUCCUCAUGGCAACUGCAGACAGGGAAAUCCUGGGAAGCAAGGAAGGACCAAAAGUGUCAAACAAUGAAUUCUGGGGAAUAGGUUGGAACACAGAAGAGUAAAAUUAGCACUAGCUUUAAUUGUAAUCACCAUACAGUUCCUUUUUAAAACCAUGGUUAUGGAAAGCAAUACUUAUAAUUGGGGGAAGGGGUUAAUUGAAGAGUAAAAAGGCAGAAAGCUUGUAUCACAUGAGCAAGAUAGUGUUUUCUGCAGCCUGCUGGAAUGUUCAUGACAUGCAAAAAAUAAAUAAAAAGCAGUCACGUGACA
rnacentral:lncRNA from 1 species